AACGAACGCUGGCGGCAUGCCUAACACAUGCAAGUCGAACGAGAUCUUCGGGUCUAGUGGCGCACGGGUGCGUAACGCGUGGGAAUCUGCCCUUUGGUUCGGAAUAACAGUUGGAAACGACUGCUAAUACCGGAUGAUGACGAAAGUCCAAAGAUUUAUCGCCAGAGGAUGAGCCCGCGUAGGAUUAGCUAGUUGGUGUGGUAAAGGCGCACCAAGGCGACGAUCCUUAGCUGGUCUGAGAGGAUGAUCAGCCACACUGGGACUGAGAUACGGCCCAGACUCCUACGGGCGGCAGCAGUGGGGAAUAUUGGACAAUGGGCGAAAGCCUGAUCCUUCAAUGCCGCGUGAACGAUAAAGGCCUUAGGGUUGUAAAGCUCUUUUACCCGGGAUGAUAAUGACAGUACCGGGAGAAUAAGCUCCGGCUAACUCCGUGCCAGCCGCCGCCGUAA
rnacentral:rRNA from 1 species